UGCGUUAAAAUAACGUCAAGUCGUAUAGUCCGAUAAUCCGGUUCGGACGUCUCUACGCCGCACCACGAAUGCAGGCACUACGGCAUGAACGAUCGACGGC
rnacentral:ncRNA from 2 species